rnacentral:rRNA from 1 species
CGGACGGGUGAGUAAUGUCUGGGAAACUGCCUGAUGGAGGGGGAUAACUACUGGAAACGGUAGCUAAUACCGCAUAACGUCGCAAGACCAAAGAGGGGGACCUUCGGGCCUCUUGCCAUCGGAUGUGCCCAGUUGGGAUUAGCUAGUAGGUGGGGUAACGGCUCACCUAGGCGACGAUCCCUAGCUGGUCUGAGAGGAUGACCAGCCACACUGGAACUGAGACACGGUCCAG